rnacentral:RNase_P_RNA from 1 species
AGGGAAGAGCCGGCCAUCGCCCAGGCUUCAAAGAGCCCGGGAGGAAAGUCCGAACACCUCAAGGCAGCGCGCCCUCGGAAACGGGGGGACUGCCCUUUAAAAGGGGGCAGGACGGAAAGUGUCACAGAAAACAAACCGCCUCAAGGUUUCCCUUCGGGGGAGCCUUGAGGCAAGGGUGAAAAGGUGGGGUAAGAGCCCACCGCCCGUUCCGGUAACGGACGGGGCACGACAAACCCCGCGCGGUGCAAGGCCAAACAGGGGCCAAGGGUUGCCUUGCCCGGCCGGGAAUGUUUCCCGGCCAGCCCCGGGUUGGGCCGCACCGGGAAGUGUCUUUCCCGGACCUCGGCCUCCGAAGGAUCUUCCGUAAGAGGCCAGGUAGAGAAAUGAUGGCACCCGGCAAGGGUCUUCCGGGGAGGGGCCUUCGCCGGGAACAGAAUUCGGCUUAUGGCUCUUUCCCUUCU